rnacentral:lncRNA from 1 species
AUUGCUUUUAAGAUCAAGCAACUUGUAAUAGUAAUGGAAAUGUGUGUAUCAUAUAAAUGUUAAGAAUUUUUAUUCUCCAUUAUUAUUGAUAGGUAAGUAGAGGAACUUUUUAUUUAUAUAAAUGCUGCCUUAGGCAUAAUCUUGGUAUGAAAGUUAUUUACUUAAUGUACCAUAAAACCAUGCUGCCAGAGGAUGCACUACUACUACUACUACUACUACUACUACUACUACUACUACUACUACUACUAAGUUCAUUGUUUGAUUUUUCAAAUUCUAUAGCAGAUGGUAGGGUUUCUGCUACAAACGGAAUCGUAAACUAUUGGAUAGCUAUGUAUGUGGUUUCAAAUACUAUUUUAUGAAUGUUUAGCAUUUUUGCAAUUAAUAUCUAUAUUUUUAAUACUUCAUAUUUGAAAAAAAACUCAUAUAAACCAAGAUUAUCUAUAGUUAUAUUUUUCUUCUUAAAUUUUUG